rnacentral:rRNA from 1 species
UACGUAGGUGGCAAGCGUUGUCCGGAAUUAUUGGGCGUAAAGCGCGCGCAGGCGGUUCUUUAAGUCUGAUGUGAAAGCCCACGGCUCAACCGUGGAGGGUCAUUGGAAACUGGAGAACUUGAGUACAGAAGAGGAAAGCGGAAUUCCACGUGUAGCGGUGAAAUGCGUAGAGAUGUGGAGGAACACCUGCGGCGAAGGCGGGUAGCUGGGCCGACACUGACGCUGAUGCGCGAAAGCCAGGGGAGCGAACGGG